ensembl:lncRNA
AGUGAAGAAGGAUGUGACUUCAAUCUUGGACUGGGUUGGAUAUGUGUUCAGGAUAUCAGUAUCAUAUAAAAUUCUUAAUCUGGAAAUAAGCUGUAUGUCUUUUAUAAAGCAUUGCUGUCUUGAUGAAUACGAUAUGAGUAACUCUUGCAUACUCAACUGCUAUUGUUCCUUUUGAGGAAGGUUUACAAGAGACUGCCUUUUAAUAAUGCAUCUCAGGCUCCGAGUCUCUACCAUUACCAUGUGCAAAAUAAUGUUUUGAUCUAGACUUCGGGAACGUUGUGCAAACAAAUCUUUAUCAAGGCCAUCUCACACGUUAAAAUUUCAGACACUACUGUUCUGCUUACUUUAUUUGCAGAUAAACUGCAUUAAGUCCAUAAUUUUCCUUUCAGCAUGCAGCAUUCAUUUUAUCUUUUCAGAAAGUCAACUAUUUAUUUUCCUUUUGUAUUCUGGAGUUGAGCCAGAACCUACUUAAAGGUAUUUUGCACAAAGUCAAGUUGACUAAAACCAUUAACAAUGCAAUAUGAAAUUCAUCUGAGAAGGGGCUAGGUCCAGUUCUUCAAGACGGGUUUUUUUGCACACCUCUGAGCAAACGAUACUAAUAGGUGAGUGUUACUUUAGAGUGGAAACAAAUCACGUUUUGGUUUGCUGCGUUGUCUGUGUGAGUUUUCUGGGGAAACCCAACAGAAGUGUCAAACCAACUCUUGGGCUUGAAAGGACCUGAUACAGCAGGUCAGUGCCCUCUGCUGAUAUCUCCAAAAGAACAUUUUACAAGGCUGCUAUCAAGUGGUGCAGUUUGUGAAACGUUCUCCCCUCACAGUGGCAUACGGUUUUGCUGGGAGAUAGUUGACAAGUCAGAAGACCCACACGUGCAAGGAUGUAUCUGGGUCGCAUCCCUCUAUAGGAGACACGGAAGAUGGUUUUCAGACUGGUAAGGGAGAAUGUGUUACAGCAGUUUCGUGUCACAUCUGUUUGACAUGGUGGUUGUUGAACAGCUUAAGUGGUUUACAAAAGUAAUUUUUUAGAAUAUGGGUUUUACAUCUUUAUGAGGAAAGCUUUUUCAGAAAGAUGAGUUGGGAAGUCAGUUUGCUCGCAGGUAUAGCAGAGGACAGAGCCGGGAUGCACUCACCUUAACCCCCUGCCAUGCAAGUUCCGGGGUUUAUUUUGCUGGGCAGGAGGAGGUUAUAUUUCAGCAUUGCAUAGCACAGCAUCAGACAACUUCUGAAGUCUCCCUCAUUUGAAACAGUAUAGAUUUAACAAAAAUAGAAAUCAAUUUCUUUUCUCUUUUGAGCUGUUUUUACAACUUCAGAGAAGGUUGAAAACCAAGCUGUUAUUAGUUGUUUUGGUUUUGUUUUUAAUCCAUCAAUAUGAGAUGUUUUCCAGCGUAGAGCAUAUAAUGGCUGGAGGUAAAAUGUUCCUUUGAACAGGCUGUCCAUUUCCCUAUCGACCGGCACUGCAGAAUAACUGAUGAUCCAGUUCAUGCAUUCCAGCUUUAUCACCCUUUAAGCGAGGGAAUGACAGAAUAGCAUGCUUUUAGUUUAUAAAAACGUGCUCCCUGCCAGUGGGCUUUGCUUGGGGGCUUUGGACAAAACAGAGUUUUCACUUCCAGCUUUAAGACACGGGAUUUUCAUUUUUAGCAUUAAGAGUUUAGUGUUGGAGCAAGUUAUCCUCCUGGAGGAAUUGCACCCACUGUAACGUCAGUCAUCUGAUGCGGUCCGGCUGCCUGCACAUCCGCUCUUUUUGUAAUAUCUAUCAAGAAAACCUUAGGAAUAGCAAUACUGCAGCAGAUCCUGAGCUUUGGGUUUUAUUUCUCUCGAGCUGGCACUGGAUCUAUGGUUUUCACUUCAUUUUGUGACCUGAUGAAAUAAUCAGCUUCGCAGUCCAAGCCAGGCCCUGGCCUAGUUGUCCUUUUAAUCAGACGUCAUUGACACAGUCGGAUGCUUGUAUUUUGGCUACUUGUUUAGUAGUGUUAGGAUUGCAGAGAUCACCACUAGGCUUUGAAGUUUUGUAUUCAUCAUUUAAGUUUGGGGUUUGUUUUUAAUUUAGUUAAGAAUGGAGUGGGGGAUGUGCCUAUCUACACUUAGGGUUUCAGUGAUUAAAAGAAAUGAAUUGUGCUGUGUAGAUGAGCAAAAUGGUUACUGUGGGUGUGGAAGUUGAAAGCUUUACAUCUUUGAAAUACAAGAACAAACCUAAAAACAUAACCCCACCAGGCCUGCACCAGAUUUUGUUCUUGCUUGUUGUUUCCUGUGUGCUCACGGAACAAAGUCUGGGUUUCUUCAGGAGCUGUGAAGUUCUGGAGUACAAAAAUACACUGUUCGGUAUCUUGGAACUGCCCAUGUUACGUAUCUGAUGUUCUGUGCAGAGUAAAGGUGCUGUGUGAAGAAAUCAUUUUG